GGAAGUAAAAGUCGUAACACGGUUUCCGUAGGUGAACCUGCGGAAGGAUCAUUAUCGAGUGAAGUCAGUUCUUCUGACACCUCUCAUUCUUUGUUUCUAGAAACUUAAAUAGUAUUUCGGCGAGUCGUUUGUAAAAACUGCUGGCACAUGUGAGCAUGUACUCGCCGAAGGAUGUUGAAAACUCUAUGAAACGAUGUCAUAUGAAAUUAUAAAGUAUAAAAACUUUCAACAACGGAUCUCUUGGUUCUG
rnacentral:misc_RNA from 1 species